rnacentral:rRNA from 1 species
GAUGAACGCUGGCGGCGUGCCUAACACAUGCAAGUCGAGCGAAGCACUUUGCUUAGAUUCUUUCGGGAUGAAGAGUGAUCUGACUGAGCGGCGGACGGGUGAGUAACGCGUGGGUAACCUGCCUCACACAGGGGGAUAACAGUUAGAAAUGACUGCUAAUACCGCAUAAGACCACAGCACCGCAUGGUGCAGGGGUAAAAACUCCGGUGGUGUGAGAUGGACCCGCGUCUGAUUAGCUAGUUGGUAAGGUAACGGCUUACCAAGGCGACGAUCAGUAGCCGACCUGAGAGGGUGACCGGCCACAUUGGGACUGAGACACGGCCCAAACUCCUACGGGAGGCAGCAGUGGGGAAUAUUGCACAAUGGGGGAAACCCUGAUGCAGCGACGCCGCGUGAGUGAAGAAGUAUUUCGGUAUGUAAAACUCUAUCAGCAGGGAAGAAAAUGACGGUACCUGACUAAGAAGCACCGGCUAAAUACGUGCCAGCAGCAGCGGUAAUACGUAUGGUGCAAGCGUUAUCCGGAUUUACUGGGUGUAAAGGGAGCGUAGACGGAUAGGCAAGUCUGGAGUGAAAACCCGGGGCUCAACCCCGGGACUGCUUUGGAAACUGUUUAUCUAGAGUGCUGGAGAGGUAAGUGGAAUUCCUAGUGUAGCGGUGAAAUGCGUAGAUAUUAGGAGGAACACCAGUGGCGAAGGCGGCUUACUGGACAGUAACUGACGUUGAGGCUCGAAAGCGUGGGGAGCAAACAGGAUUAGAUACCCUGGUAGUCCACGCCGUAAACGA